UUGCAUCCAGUCUACGUUUGCUACUGUAGCUCGCUGCAGCCGCUAACCGCAUCGCAUUGUAAACAGGUAGCCAUUCUGCCUUAGGCCGGGGUUUCAUUACAGCCACAUGCUAAACAGACACAUUUUAAUCCAAAUAACAUCCGUAGUGAAACAGCAUCUAAAGCAGGCGUCUAUGCAUCGCCCAUCUUUCACGGUCGCUCCUUUCUUCAAGCGCAUUAACAACAUAAACUUAAGUUUGCCAUCAUUUCUCUUUUUGUUUUGCAGCUUCACUCAGAAUCAUUCCUAACAGAUCCCAGUUCUUCCAUAUGAGUCCGUCUCCAUAAGCUGUGGGGGGCAGGAAAACUCUUCAGAGUGGAGAGUUAAAAGGAGCACGUCCUUUAACACAAACACAACAUGUCCCUCAUCCUCAAAUGGAAUAGAUGAAUCUCACUGCAACUUCAGUGACAUUUAUCCAGCAGACAUGGAGUUUACUGGUGUGAGUCUGCAACGGGAGAGUGUUUUGAUGCCAUCAACAUCACUGUCACAGCUGGUUCUGUGAUCCUGGAAGGUCCUGCCCAUCCUGUGAUGGAGGGAGACACUGUAACUCUGCACUGUAGACACAAUGCAGGCUCAUCCUCCAAUUUCACUUCUAUUUUCUAUAAAAAUUAUGAUAUUAUUGGGAGCAGCUCUACAGGAAACCUGAACAUCCACAGGGUUUCCAAAUCACAUGAAGGACUCUACAAGUGUAACAUCACUGGAGUUGGAGAAUCACCAGACAGCUCACUGGUGGUUGUUUCUGCAGCAGGGAGUCCUGACUCGUCGUCUGAUUCUUCCCCCCGAGUGAUUCUUCCUGUGGUGGGUGUCUGCCUCAUGCUGAUUUUGCUGAUGCUGCUCUGCCUCUGGAGGAGCCACAAAGGUCAGCAUGUUUUGAUGUAAAUAAAAAAAAAAGAAAUGACAUUUUACAUCCUGUUGCUACAAUGUCACUUUCACCGUGUGUAGAAUUCCUUUCUCUUGUCGCGGUUAAAAAAAAACAUCCCCCAAGAAUAAAACUAAAAUCUGCUGCACUCACACGAGACUCCGGUCCUACCUCCUCCUACUCUGUUCAUUUCAUAAAGGCAACACUACAGAUACAU